rnacentral:lncRNA from 1 species
CAGAAUUCCACCUUCCUGCCUUACUUUGAACUCCUUUUUCUAGGGAUUACUGACAAAUCCACACGGGCUGAUCUCCAGAAAGACCGGUCAAAGUGUUGCCGUGAGAAGGGCUGGUGAUAUGAGCCACUCAGAACUUCACUAUGAAACGGAAAGCCAAAACUCAGUUUGCCCUUCCCAUGGUCUUUCCUCAGGCUCUACUUAGAGCUGAAGGUCACCAAGGACAUCAUCUUUAGAUGCAGAAUCCACCUUUUAUUAUCUUCAAUAAACUCACCAACAAAAUACUGGAAUUCAUUUGCCAUCUAUAAGCCUUGAUGAUCCAGUUCCGGUUCAAGGGGAGGUCUUUCAGUCACUGGAGGAAUGGGACCAGGCUUUUACAAAAUGAACAGCAUCUAUACAACUUUUAUCAAGAUGUAACAGGAUGAUCUCAGCAUUUUGACUAUCCAGCCAGAGGAUACAAAAGUUCAU